ACGGGAGGCAGCAGUGGGGAAUAUUGCACAAUGGGCGCAAGCCUGAUGCAGCGAUGCCGCGUGAGGGAAGAAGGUUUUCGGAUUGUAAACCUCUGUCAACAGGGACGAAAAUGACGGUACCUGUGAAGGAAGCUCCGGCUAACUACGUGCCAGCAGCCGCGGUAAUACGUAGGGUGCAAGCGUUAUCCGGAAUUACUGGGUGUAAAGGGAGUGUAGGCGGGACUGUAAGUCAGAUGUGAAAUAUGCCGGCUCAACUGGCAGACUGCAUUUGAAACUGCGGUUCUUGAGUGAAGUAGAGGUAAGCGGAAUUCCUAGUGUAGCGGUGAAAUGCGUAGAUAUUAGGAGGAACAUCAGUGGCGAAGGCGGCUUCCUGGGCUUUAACUGACGCUGAGGCUCGAAAGCGUGGGGAGCAAACAGGAUUAGAUACCCUGGUA
rnacentral:rRNA from 1 species